UCCUACGGGAGGCAGCAGUGGGGAAUAUUGGACAAUGGGCGAAAGCCUGAUCCAGCCAUGUCGCAUGAGCGAAGAAGGCCUUUGGGUUGUAAAGCUCUUUUAGUGAGGAAGAUAAUGACGGUACUCACAGAAGAAGUCCUGGCUAACUCCGUGCCAGCAGCCGCGGUAAUACAA
rnacentral:rRNA from 1 species